rnacentral:rRNA from 1 species
UGGGGAAUAUUGGGCAAUGGGCGAAAGCCUGACCCAGCAACGUCGCGUGGGGGACGAAGGUUCUCGAAUCGUAAACCCCUGUCAGUAGGGACGAUGGGUAGGUAUUAACAACACUUACUUGACGGUACCUACAGAGGAAGCCCCGGCUAACUCCGUGCCAGCAGCCGCGGUAAUACGGAGGGGGCUAGCGUUGCUCGGAAUUACUGGGCGUAAAGGGUUCGUAGGUGGUGUCGUAAGUUAGAUGUGAAAGCUCAGGGCUCAACCCUGAAAUUGCACCUAAAACUGCGACACUAGAGUUCGGAAUAGGUUGGCAGAAUUCCCGGUGUAGCGGUGAAAUGCGUAGAUAUCGGGAGGAAUACCAGUGGCGAAGGCGGCUAACUGGUCCGAUACUGACACUGAGGAACGAAAGCGUGGGUAGCGAACGGGAUUAGAUACCCCCGUAGUCC